GGACUGAUAGCUCAGCUGGAUAGAGCAUCCGCCUUCUAAGCGGAGGGUCGUAGGUUCGAGUCCUACUCAGUCUA
rnacentral:tRNA from 1 species